CUCUGGUCGUCCGACCGUUUGCAGAAGUUCUCCUCUGGCCCUUCCACCUUGUCUAGGUGCCACAGACCCCCUUCCUGAGCAGGGUCAUUGUCCUAUUUGAGGAGUAUGUGAUGACCCUGGCCUCCUGGCAAGUUCCCAGCACUGAGUGACAUGCUUGCAGACAGGGUCUUAUGAUGUGUCCCUGUUUGGUCUGCAAUUCACCACGCAGCUGAUACCAGCCCCACACUGUGGGCCAUCCUCCUCUCUCUCCUGCCUCCUCCUGGUGCUGGAGUUACAGGCACAGGCCACUCUGCCCAGGUCAGGGCCACACAAUUCCUCUUAACUAAUGGAAAAUGAAAGGUGUCAGGGUUAAGGUAAGACAAAUGCCAAGAAUGGACAGGAAAUGUUAAGAAAGGGCAGCCAGGGGUGUGGCUCAGUGUGCAGUGCAUGCCCAGCAGCCCAGCAUCUGCUCAGAGCAGGGCCACCAGAUCCAAGGUACACAAAAUGGUGACAGAAAAGAUCAAAAAGGACAAGGAAAUUUGCCUAAGGAAAUGAAAGGAAAUGAAACUACAGUGGUAGGAUAAGGUCACGGUAAUUCAAUGUAGUCAAGCUGUAGGAGCCAGGAACAGUGACGAAUCAACACACACGAUCAUACAGAAGGCACAUUCAGGGUGGUGGAAAAAUGAGGAAUGAAUUGUUUAAUGAUGUCCAGGCCCGGCUGGAUCUUCAACAGUAAAACACACCAGACUCUUAUACCACAUGCAAAAGUGAAUGCCCAAUAGAUUAAUUAAAUAGAUACAAAAGGCAAAAUAAUGAGAGUUGGGGCCUACAUGAGUGAUAGUGUUCAUUGUGAACAAUGUGGAUUUCAGUAACUCAGAUUCAGCCCCAGGAAGAAGAAGAGGAAGAGGAAGAGGAAGAUGAAGAGGAAAAGGAGAAGAGGAAGAAG